rnacentral:lncRNA from 1 species
UGGGUGACAGAGCCAGAAAGAAAAAAUAAAUAAAUAAAAAAGAAGGAAAAGGAAAUGGCAGCUCUGGGAGGCUGAGGCGGGAGGAUCCCUUGAGGCCAGAAGUUUGAGACCAGCCUGGGCAACACAGCAAGACCCCGUCUCUACAAAAAGGAAAGAGAAAGAAAAAGUUAAGAAAAUCAAGCCAGGCAUGGUGACCCUCCUAUAGUCCCAGAUACUCAGGAGGCUGAGGCAGG